UACAGAGGUCCCAAGCGUUGUUCGGAUUCACUGGGCGUAAAGGGUGCGUAGGUGGUGAGGUAAGUCGGAUGUGAAAGCUCUGAGCUCAACUCAGAAAUGGCAUUGGAAACUACCUUGCUUGAGGAUUGGAGGGGGGACUGGAAUUCUCGGUAUAGCAGUGAAAUGCGUAGAGAUCGAGAGGAACACCAGUGGCGAAGGCGAGUCCCUGGACAAUUCCUGACGCUGAGGCACGAAAGCUAGGGGAGCAAACAGG
rnacentral:rRNA from 1 species